CUUAAGCAUUCUGUUGCUUCUCUGCACACACUGUGCUGGGAGUAUGGCAAGAAAAACACCAUCUUACGAUAUUCACCAAGGGCCAGACUGCGAUACACACACAUUGGUUUUGGAGCAACAUUUUGGUAUUUUCCCUGGCACCAAAUUACUACUGGAUUCUGUUUAAAUGGAAGAGAUGGCCAGUCCGCAUUAGCUGGGGAAAGAGAGAAAGCCAAGAAGACAAGGCAGCUGCCUGUGAAUAAACAGGAGCAUCAUCACCAUUGCACUCCUGCGAAAUAAGGCAUUCCGGCAGAUAGAGAAAUUCCAGAUGACAUACACUUUGUAAGGAAAAGCUGAAGGAAGGAAUUGGUCAGGCUUACCAAAGCCCAUGCCCAAAGUAAAAUGAGCUAUUUAUUUAUUUAUCAUUGUGCACUU